rnacentral:rRNA from 1 species
GACGAACGCUGGCGGCGUGCUUAACACAUGCAAGUCGAACGAUGAAGCAGAGAAACGCGCACUUCGGUUCAAAUUUCACUUCGGAUUAGUGGCAGACGGGUGAGUAACGCGUGAGCAACCUACCUCUUACAAAGGGAUAGCCUCGGGAAACCGUGAUUAAUACCAUAUGACACAUUCAUAAGGCAUCUUAAGAAUGUUAAAGCUACGGCGGUAAGAGAUGGGCUCGCGUCCCAUUAGCUAGUUGGUGAGGUAACGGCCCACCAAGGCGACGAUGGGUAACCGGGCUGAGAGGGUGAACGGUCACAGUGGAACUGAGACACGGUCCAAACUCCUACGGGAGGCAGCAGUGGGGAAUAUUGCACAAUGGAGGGAACUCUGAUGCAGCGACGCCGCGUGAGCGAUGAAGGAAUUCGUUUCGCAAAGCUCUGUUCUAUGGGAAGAAAAGGACUGUACCAUAGGAGAAAGCCCCGGCUAAAUACGUG